rnacentral:rRNA from 1 species
GACGAACCGUACGAACGUUAUUCGGAAUUACUGGGCUUAAAGGGUGCGUAGGCUGCGCGGAAAGUUGGGUGUGAAAUCCCUCGGCUCAACCGAGGAACUGCGCUCAAAACUACCGUGCUCGAGGGAGACAGAGGUGAGCGGAACUUAGGGUGGAGCGGUGAAAUGCGUUGAUAUCCUAAGGAACACCCGUGGCGAAAGCGGCUACACUGGGUCUCUUCUGACGCUGAGGCACGAAAGCUAGGGUAGCGAACGGG